rnacentral:sRNA from 1 species
UAUUCUGCCCCACGGGGAAGGAUGAGAAGCUUCGACUAAGGUUCGACUCGAGCGAAGCGAGAGAACGUUGCCGCAGGGCAAGGGCCCGAAGGCGAGGCGCUUUAGCGCCGAGUAAUCCUUCCCCCACCACUG